rnacentral:rRNA from 1 species
ACGAACGCUGGCGGCUGCUUAACACAUGCAAGUCGAACGGAGUGGCGAACGGGUGAGUAACGCGUGAGCAACCUGCCUAUGACAGUGGGAUAGCCUCGGGAAACCGGGCUUAAUACCGCAUAGUCAUCGAUGGGCUCGCGACUGAUUAGCUAGUUGGUGAGAUAACAGCCCACCAAGGCGACGAUCAGUAGCCGGUCUGGGAGGAUGAGCGGACACAUUGGAAGUGAGACACGGGCCAAACUCCUGCGGGAGGCAGCAGUGGGGAAUACAGCACAAUGGGGGAAACCCUGAUGCAGCGACGCCGCGUGAACGAAGAAGGUAUUCGGAUCGUAAAGUUCUGUCCUAUGGGAAGCAGUACCAUAGAAGAAAGCUCCGGCUAAAUACGUGCCAGCAGCCGCGGUAAUUC